rnacentral:rRNA from 1 species
UACGAAGGGGGCUAGCGUUGUUCGGAAUCACUGGGCGUAAAGCGUACGUAGGCGGAUUGUUAAGUCAGGGGUGAAAGCCCGAGGCUCAACCUCGGAAUUGCCUUUGAUACUGGCUGUCUUGAGUCCGGGAGAGGUGAGUGGAACUGCGAGUGUAGAGGUGAAAUUCGUAGAUAUUCGCAAGAACACCAGUGGCGAAGGCGGCUCACUGGCCCGAUACUGACGCUGAGGCACGAAAGCGUGGGGAGCAAACAGG